AUUGAACGCUGGCGGCAGGCCUAACACAUGCAAGUCGAACGAGUGGCGGACGGGUGAGUACUGUCUGGGAAACUGCCCGAUGGGGAGGGCUAACGACUGGAAACGGUAGCUAAUACCGCAUACAAUCGAAUGUGCCCAGAUUGGAUUAGCUAGUAGGUGGGGUAACGGCCUACCAAGGCGACGAUCCCUAGCUGGUCUGAGAGGAUGACCAGCCACACUGGAACUGAGACACGGUCCAGACUCCUACGGGAGGCAGCAGUGGGGAAUAUUGCACAAUGGGCGAAAGCCUGAUGCAGCCAUGCCGCGUGUAUGAAGAAGGUCUUCGGGUUGUAAAGUACUUUCAGCGGGGAGGCGUUACUCGCAGAAGAAGCACCGGCUAACUCCGUGCCAGCAGCCGCGGUAAUUC
rnacentral:rRNA from 1 species